UAGCCAUCUGAUUUCAUUUUUCCUGUGCUGCAGAAGAAAUGCAUACAUUGAAAAUCAAAUAGGCCAGAGGAUGAUUUAGAUUGACACUGCUGAGAAGAGCAACACUCCUACUUCCAACUCUCCCCUGCCUCAGCCUCACUUCCACAGCCAGAAGUGAAUUCUAUCAGAAAUACACUUUUCUUAAUUAUUAGUUAAUUAAUUAAUUAAUUAAUCCAGAUCUGGAUUAAUAUUGUGCUCUUAGAUCUGGGGGUUUUGUUGUAGUUGAGACACGUGUUGUGUGUUUUCUGCAUUAGGUUUAGUCUGGAUCAGUUUUCUAAAGUUUUUUUUUAGAUGUUGUGCUGCGGGGUUUUUGUUUUGGGGUUUGGUUUUUUUUAAUAUUUUCAGAUUAUGAAUCAGUUAGUGGAAACAUGAAAUGCAAUUUACAUUCUUGAAAAAGAGUUAUUUUAUAAUGGUUCUGUGUGAAAGGAGAACUGAAGGCAAGGUUGUUGCAGUCCAAUUUAAGGUAAUUCCACAUUACUAACAGCAUGUAUUAGCAGCAAGAGAUUAAGAAAAGAGUUUGCACUUAGUUCAAGCCAUGAUUUUACUGAAAAUGUAGGUCAUGCUAAAUUUUCCACAUAAUUAAACAAAAUUAAUAAAACUGAUUAAGAUAUGUUCCAAGUAGCUUUGAAUACCAUGCUGUUUUGCAACUCCCUGGAAUUGCAAGAAUAUGAGAGACUACUUAGGUGGAUAUUGGGAAAUGAAGUUUUCUCAGCCAAAAAAAAAAUCUUUUCUCUUUUAACAGAACAGCAAUGGCAAUCUUUGCAAACUGUGUGUUCUUUAUUAAUCUAAAAUUCUUGCCUAUUCAGGAGAAGAGCAAGUUGAAAGCAUCCAUAAAGGAAAAUGGUAGAGUAGUUAAUUUUGUGCUGAAUAACAAAGUAAGUGCCAUACUUAUUUCUGAGAUUUCAGAAGGAAAAUACCAAGUGGUGUAAGUGUUGUAGAGUUUUGCCUUCACACAGAAAAAACAAGAACUGUAGACAUUGUAUCUUGAUUCAAUAUAUAAAUUAAAAUAUUCCAUUUAUAUUUUUAAUGCAUGUGAUGCUGUACAAGUGAAAUGUUAUAUAAAAAAAUGAAGAGCAAUAUUCUUUCUCCACAAAAGAACCAGGGAAGGUUUUUUUCCCCAGCUAAAAUUGCCAUGCUGUUGUCCUUCUCUCAUUGUUGGAGAGGGGAAACUCUGAAUAAAAAACACAUCACUGAAA